rnacentral:rRNA from 1 species
GCAGUCGAGCGAGUGGAGUUCUUCGGAACAAAGCUAGCGGCGGACGGGUGAGUAACACGUGGGCAACCUGCCUCAUAGAGGGGAAUAGUCUCCCGAAAGGGAGAUUAAUACCGCAUAAGAUUGUAGCUUCGCAUGAAGUAGCAAUUAAAGGAGCAAUCCGCUAUGAGAUGGGCCCGCGGCGCAUUAGCUAGUUGGUGAGGUAACGGCUCACCAAGGCGACGAUGCGUAUCCUACCUGAGAGGGUGAUCGGCCGCAUUGGGACUGAGACACGGCCCAGACUCCUACGGGAGGCAGCAGUGGGGAAUAUUGCACAAUGGGGGAAACCCUGAUGCAGCAACGCCGCGUGAGUGAUGACGGCCUUCGGGUUGUAAAGCUCUGUCUUCAGGGACUAUAAUGACGGUACCUGAGGAGGAAGCCACGGCUAACUACGUGCCAGCAGCCGCGGUAAUACGUAGGUGGCGAGCGUUGUCCGGAUUUACUGGGCGUAAAGGGAGCGUAGGCGGACUUUUAAGUGAGAUGUGAAAUACCCGGGCUCAACUUGGGUGCUGCAUUUCAAACUGGAAGUCUAGAGUGCAGGAGAGGAGAAUGGAAUUCCUAGUG